rnacentral:rRNA from 1 species
AUUGAACGCUGGCGGCAGGCCUAACACAUGCAAGUCGAGCGGAGUGGCGAACGGGUGAGUAACACGUGGGUGACAUGCCCUGCACUUCGGGAGAAGACUUGGAAACUGGGUCUAAUACCGGAUAGUGUGGGAUGGGCCCGCGGCUUAUCAGCUGGUUGGUGGGGUAAUGGCCUACCAAGGCGGCGACUGGUAGCCGGCCUGAGAGGGUGGACGGCCACCUUGGGACUGAGAGACGGACCAGACUCCUACGUGAGGCAGCAGUGGGGAAGCUUGCGCAAUGGGCGGAAGCCUGAUGCAGCGACGCCGCGUGGGGGAUGACGGCCUUCGGGUUGUAAACUCCUUUCACCAUCGACGCGGUAGAUGGAGAGGAAGCACCGGCUAACUACGUGCCAGCCGCCGCGGUAAUAC